ensembl:lncRNA
UUCCUGUUGGGUUUCGGAUAUUGCUCCAAGAGUCUUUUUUGUAGGUACUGAUGCUUUACAUAUGUGUGCCAAUUUUCGUGCAUGUACGUGAAACACAGCUCGAGGGCUGUUGAUUUUUUUACGGUAGGUGGCGCUGUCGAGCCAUUUUGCCACACCCUCUUCUGAAACCUAUAUCAGACGUAAAUUUUCACCAGGUCUGACGCGUGUGCAAAGUUUCAGGACUUUUCGAGCAUGUUUAGGCCCUCAAAAAUGUGAUUCAUUUUGGAGAAGAAGAAGAAGAAGAAUAAUAAUAAUAAUAAUAAACAAAGCAGAUACAAUAGGGUCCUCACACCAUCGGUGCUCGGGCCCUAAUUAAAGCUGCAAGCAGCGAUGAACGGGCCCUCGCA